GUGAGGGGUGUUUCCAGCUGAUCUGCACAACAGAAGGACCGGAGUCUCCCCCAGCAGCUACUCGACCGACCGGCCCCUUUCCCCAGCAGCACGGCAGAGCACGCACCGGCCCCGGCGGCGCACGGACCUGCAUCGGGGUCCGAGGGAAGACCCGGAGGGGAGGCUCCUCGGCGUCCCCCCCACUCCGCCCCUCCCGGUGCACACUGUCAUGAUCCCGGCGCGGAGAUGGCGUCCUUCCCCGGUUCGUGUCAGGCCGUCGGGCCCGAGGAGGCGCGCGGAGAGCCGGACGGGUCUCUGCGGGAGAUGCUGAAGGCCAUCACGGACGAGCGGAACCGGCUCAGCGUCCGGCAGGAGACCAGCGGGCUGGGCGGCUUCCAGGACGACCGCAUCGUGUUCUGGACCUGCAUGUUCUCCACGUACUUCAUGGAGCGGUUCUCCCCCGGCAGCCUGGUGCAGGACGACAUGCUGUUCUACGUGCGCAGGAGGCCGGCCUACGACGGCGCCGCGGGCGACGGCGUCAACAACAACAACGACGGCAAGAAGGUGGAGGUGGAGGUCUACAGGAGAGACUCCAAGAAGCUGCCUGGCCUCGGGGACCCCGACAUGGACUGGGAGGAGAGCGUCUACCUGAACCUCGUCUUACAGAAGCUGGACUACGUGGUGACGUGUGCAGUCUGCACGCGCUCAGACGCCGGGGACAUCCACAUCCACCGCAAGAAGUGUCAGGAAGUUUUCGCGUCUCCCAGUAAACACGCCAUGGACAGCAAAGGGGAGGAGUCUAAGAUGAGCUACCCCAACAUCUUCUUCAUGAUCGACAACUUCGAGGAGGUGUUCAGCGACAUGACGGUGGGCGAGGGCGAGAUGGUGUGUGUGGAGCUGGUGGCGAGCGACAAGAGCAACAGCUUCCAGGGCGUCAUCUUCCAGGGCUCCAUCCGCUACGAGGCCCUGAAGAAGGUCUACGACAACCGCGUUAGCGUAGCGGCUAAGAUGGCCCAGCGGAUGUCUUUCGGCUUCUACAAGUACAACAACAUGGAGUUCGUGAGGAUGAAGGGGCCGCAGGGCAAAGGUCACGCCGAGAUGGCCGUCAGCCGCGUGCCGACCGGAGACACCGAGGAGGAGCCGGCCUCGCCCGAGAGGGUGACCUCCUUCAGCACGCCUCCCACGCCGGAGAGGACCCGGCCGUCCUUCUUCUCGCCGUCUCUCAGACGCAAAGCUCCUCGAAACCGAAACGCAGAGAUGAAGAAGUCUCACUCGGCCAACGACAGCGAGGAGUUCUUCAGGGAGGAGGAGGACGAAGGUAGGAAGCACCAAGGAACCACUAAGGGACAGACCUCCACUCGUCCUCUAACCUGCGCUCUCGCUCUCUCUCGGGCACCGGGCGUUCUCUGGUCGGCUCGUGGCUCAAACUGAACCGAACUGACGACUACUUCCUGUUGUACUCGCACCUGACCUACGUCACGCUGCCGCUGCACCGCAUCACCGCAGACAUCCUGGAGGUGCGGCAGAAGCCCAUCCUCAUGACGUAGCAGCCGAGCUGCUCGUCAUACCAAGUGCCUCCUGCAUCGGGCCAGACGCAGCAGCGCCCCCUGGUGGCCGGACCGAGACCAACACCCACAGCCUGCUCCAGAGGGGACACACACACACACCAGCCAUUCAGGAAGUGCCUCCUCUUCUUCCCUUCCCGCUGCGUGCGAGGUCACGUGACCUCCGGUGUGAGAGGCGGUUGGCUGAACUCUGACCAGGAAGUGGAGAACGUGUUCUUGUAAAUAUUUGCUGCUUCACUCAGAGGUUCUGCGGUUCUUUUAAUGACACGUUCCUCUCGUGGUUUUCUUUUUUCAAUAUUAUCCACGACGACGGGACUCGAAGUGUUUUUGUACGACAGGAAACCGGAAACGGGAAGUGGAGACGCCAGUGCCAUCGCUGCGUCUUCAUCCUUUUAUGGACCAACGGUCUCAUUUAGUCUCUGAAUGUCUAAAAUACCAGAAUAAUAAAUGUUGUGUAGAAGCAGACAUGUUACCAGCAGUGAGUUAGGACUUCUUCACUUAUCAGCAUCUCUAAACUACCAUAAAUAAAAUCACUUUUACUUGUGACUGAUUCACAAUAUCAGAGUUCGACUUCACUCGUUAUAUUAAAUUACAACAAAUAAAAUGUCAUGAAUAAUAUAAAAUAUUAGAUUAUAUUUGUCUUUGAUCAAUAUUUACAUUCUCAUUGUUUUGAUUUGACCAGCAACUUUUAUUUGUUUAAUUAAACUGAUCAUUUAAACUAUUGAUUACGAGAUCAGUACAUUUAUGUUCUUUGUGAUUUAAAACCUGAGCAAAUUAUUUAAUUUCUAAUCUGUACAUUUCGAAAAAGUAUCUUUGAACUCACCAAAAGUUUCUAAAGUGUAAUUAUUGUUAUAACAACUAUGUUUUAAUUAGUUAAAAAAGAUACGCAGAUGAACGGCGGCUAUUAGAAGUUAGUCAAAUACAAGAAAAUUUAAUUAUCUAAAAUAUUCAAAGAAUGUUUAGCAUUAUGACUAACAAACACGUUAAUUAUUUAUGUUUAUUUAACUAAACCAAAAGAACUUCAGGAGUCACGAAAUUCACGCUGGCUACAUUUUGUUUAAUCUCAAUAUAAUUCUUGUAACUUUACAACUCUAAUUUAUCCUCUGAAGAUCGAAAUUCAGUUAGUUUAAAAAAAGUAUUUUAUAAUAUAUAUAAAACAAAUAUAAUAUAUAAUUAUAUUUUAGCGUAGUGAGUCACGCUGUUGAUUGAUUAUAUAAUAAUACAUAAUUCUGAUCUAAAUAUUUGUUACUAUUUAAGAACUGAACGUUUUCACCGUUUAAUCUUCAGAAGUCAGUCGGUUGAAAUUCUCGUUGGCCACCAGAGGCUGAGCCGAAGCUCUUUUGGGGCUUCCGUAGAUUCAUUUAAAUCAAACUGUUAAAACCGUUAACAUAUUCAUCCUGUAAAUCUGAUACAUUUCUGGACAAAGACAUAAUUGAAGACCAAU